UACGUAGGGGGCAAGCGUUGUCCGGAAUCAUUGGGCGUAAAGCGCGUGUAGGCGGCUCGGUAAGUCUGCUGUGAAAGUCCAGGGCUCAACCCUGGAAAGCCGGUGGAAACUGUCGAGCUAGAGUCCGGAAGAGGCGAGUGGAAUUCCUGGUGUAGCGGUGAAAUGCGCAGAUAUCAGGAGGAACACCAAUGGCGAAGGCAGCUCGCUGGGACGGUACUGACGCUGAGGAGCGAAAGCGUGGGGAGCGAACAGG
rnacentral:rRNA from 1 species